ACGGCAAACAAAAUGGCGGCUUACACAUGGGACAAAGCUAAGAGCUUUCUAACAGCAAGAGAGCAUAGAGAUACUGUCUAAAGACUUCUCUAGAAGCAUUAUAAGGUAACAGAGCAACUGGACGUGCUCCUCUUCCUCCUGUCCCACACAAACCAGCCAAACCUUCUUACAAACUGAGCGACUUUCAAUUAAUUAAAGUUUUCGGGAAAGGAAGCUUGGAAAGGUUCUUCUUGCUAAAUUGUCGAAUGGAAACAAGGCAUAUUUUGCCAUUAAAGCAAAUUUCAAUAUCUUAUAUUUAAUUUCAAUAUUAAUUUUUAAUUUUUA